GAUGAACGCUGGCGGCGUGCCUAAUACAUGCAAGUCGAGCGAACGGACGAGAAGCUUGCUUCUCUGAUGUUAGCGGCGGACGGGUGAGUAACACGUGGAUAACCUACCUAUAAGACUGGGAUAACUUCGGGAAACCGGAGCUAAUACCGGAUGAUAUUUUGAACCGCAUGGUUCAAAAGUGAAAGACGGUCUUGCUGUCACUUAUAGAUGGAUCCGCGCUGCAUUAGCUAGUUGGUAAGGUAACGGCUUACCAAGGCAACGAUGCAUAGCCGACCUGAGAGGGUGAUCGGCCACACUGGAACUGAGACACGGUCCAGACUCCUACGGGAGGCAGCAGUAGGGAAUCUUCCGCAAUGGGCGAAAGCCUGACGGAGCAACGCCGCGUGAGUGAUGAAGGUCUUCUGAUCGUAAAACUCUGUUAUUAGGGAAGAACAUAUGUGUAAGUAACUGUGCACAUCUUGACGUUACCUAAUCAGAAAGCCACGGCUAACUACGUG
rnacentral:rRNA from 1 species